UGGAAUGGGUAGCCUUUCCCUUCUCCAGGGGAUCUUCCCAACCCAAGGAUUGAACCCAGGUCUCCUGCAUUGCAGGCAGAUUCUUUACCAGCUGAGCCACAAGGGAAGCCCAUUGUGUCAAAUGGCAGUCAAAUAAUUUCACAAGUAGGAACAGUAUUUAUGAUUUCCCACAAGUAGAAACAGUAUUUUUACUAUCACAGGAGUCUGUUUCCAAUGCUAUUAAUAAUCUGUAGCCAUCUGAUAUUUUCUGUUUUCAAGUAUAUUUCAAAACUGACCUACUUUUUAGAAUUGUGACUCUUAAUUCUGCUAAGAAGUUUAUUUUGAGGGGCUUGACAUUUUUUGAACAAAUCUGUACAUGUUUAAUACAGUGGCAGCGACUCACGACUUGAAGCUGUUUCACAUGCAGGUCUUACACAAGUGUGUGCUUCUUACACUUGUUCACAUGCAGGUCUUACACAAGUGUGUACUUCUUACAUUUGUUCGAAAGGCUUAAAUUUCAACAGUUCAUUUAUUAUAAUUAUCAAAUAUUCCUGAAACCUAUGUAUGUGACUUCUCAUUAUUUUAACAGACUAGUAGGGGUAGAAAUGAUCAGAAAUGAAGAAAUUUUUAGUGGGAAGCUAAAUGUCUGUCUUAAAGCCUGGGAAUUUCUUUUUCCAUUUUUCUUUUAUCCACUUUAUUUGCCUUCCUAAAGUCGGAGCAAAUAGGAAAAGAAAAGUUGGGAAGCCAUCAGAGAAGACAAUGACAUAAGCA